AUUGAACGCUGGCGGCAUGCCUUACACAUGCAAGUCGAACGGCAGCACGGGAGCAAUCCUGGUGGCGAGUGGCGAACGGGUGAGUAAUAUAUCGGAACGUGCCCAGUCGUGGGGGAUAACGUAGCGAAAGCUACGCUAAUACCGCAUACGAUCUAUGGAUGAAAGCGGGGGAUCGCAAGACCUCGCGCGAUUGGAGCGGCCGAUAUCAGAUUAGGUUGUUGGUGGGGUAAAAGCCUACCAAGCCUGCGAUCUGUAGCUGGUCUGAGAGGACGACCAGCCACACUGGAACUGAGACACGGACCAGACUCCUACGGGAGGCAGCAGUGAGGAAUAUUGGACAAUGGGCGAGAGCCUGAUCCAGCCAUGCCGCGUGCAGGAAGACGGCCCUAUGGGUUGUAAACUGCUUUGUACGGGAAGAAACACCCCCUCGUGAGGGGGCUUGACGGUACCGUAAGAAUAAGGAUCGGCUAACUCCGUGCCAGCACG
rnacentral:rRNA from 1 species